GUCGACCUCGGAUCGGGUAGGACUACCCGCUGAACGGCACAGCUCAGAUUUGAAUCUGGCUCCCCCUCGCGGGGUGCCCGAGUUGUAAUUUGCAGAGGACGCCUCUGGCGCGGCGCCUUCCGAGUUCCCUGGAACGGGACGCCGUAGAGGGUGAGAGCCCCGUAUGGUCGGCUGCCUAGCCUAUGUGAGGCUCCUUCGACGAGUCGAGUAGUUUGGGAAUGCUGCUCAAAAUAGGGAGGUAUAUGUCUUCUAAAGCUAAAUACCGGCCAGAGACCGAUAGCGCACAAGUAGAGUGAUCGAAAGAUGAAAAGCACUUUGAAGAGAGGGUUAAAACAGUACGUGAAAUUGUUGAAAGGGAAGCGCUCGCGACCAGACUCGGGCCCGGCAGAUCAUCCGGCGUUCCUCGCCGGUGCGCUCCGCCGGCGCCCGGGCCAGCAUCGGCUCGCCGCGGGGGAUAAAGGCGGCGGGGGAACAUGGCCCCUCCGGGGGUGUUGCAGCCCGCCGCGCGAUGCCCCGCGCCGCGGGCCGAGGACCGCGCCCUAGGCAAGGAUGCUGGCGUAAUGGUCGCCAGCGACCCGUCUUGAAACACGGACCAAGGAGUCGUCUUCGUAUGCGAGUGUUCGGGUGUCAAACCCCUACGCGCAAUGAAAGUGAACGGCGGGUGAGAGCCCUCGCGGGCGCAUCACCGACCGAUCCUGAUGUUCUCGGAUGGAUUUGAGUAAGAGCAUACGGGGCCGGACCCGAAAGAAGGUGAACUAUGCCUGUGUAGGGUGAAGCCAGAGGAAACUCUGGUGGAGGCUCGCAGCGGUUCUGACGUGCAAAUCGAUCGUCAAACAUGGGCAUGGGGGCGAAAGACUAAUCGAACCUUUCUAGUAGC
rnacentral:rRNA from 1 species